UACAGAGGGUGCGAGCGUUGUUCGGAAUUACUGGGCGUAAAGCGUGCGCAGGCGGCUCCUUAAGUCAGAUGUGAAAUCCCCGGGCUUAACCUGGGAACUGCGUUUGAAACUGAGGGGCUUGAGUGUGGAAGAGGGGGGUGGAAUUCCAGGUGUAGCAGUGAAAUGCGUAGAGAUCUGGAGGAACACCGAUGGCGAAGGCAGCCCCCUGGGCUGACACUGACGCUCAUGCACGAAAGCGUGGGGAGCAAACAGG
rnacentral:rRNA from 1 species